UAGGGAAUAUUGGUUAAUGGGCGAAAGCCUGAACCAGCAACGCCGCGUGCACGAUGACGGCCUUCGGGUUGUAAAGUGCUUUUUGGAGGGAAGAGGAAGGACGGUACCUCCAGAAUAAGUCUCGGCUAACUACGUGCCAGCAGCCGCGGUAACACAUAGGAGACAAGCGUUAUUCGGAUUUACUGGGCGUAAAGCGCGCGCAGGCGGUCUGACAAGUUGGAUGUGAAAGCUCCUGGCUUAACUGGGAGAGGUCGUUCAAAACUAUCAGACUAGAGAGUGGUAGAGGAAGGCGGAAUUCCUGGUGAAGUGGUGAAAUGCGUAGAUAUCCGGAGGAACACCAGUGGCGAAAGCGGCCUUCUGGACCAAUUCUGACACUCAGACGCGAAAGCUAAGGUAGCAAACG
rnacentral:rRNA from 1 species